AAAACCCGGUCAAGGUCAGUAAACAUGGUGGACAAAUAUUCAACUUGCGUUGUUGACAUACACGAAAAAUAACCGAUAUAUGGACUAUACCUGAUAUUUUUGGAUUUAUUUAUGCCAUAGACAUCAACAAUGUUUAAGUUCAGGUAUUUCAAAUAGCCUCCUUUGAACUUGAUGAUGGUGGCAAAGUACACAAUUAUUUAAACCCACCAGAAAAAACAGUGGAAGAAACCCUCCAAACCCCUGUGAAAACUCACAUUUCUGUGAAAGGAAUCUUACGAAAGAGUUCGGAUCUCAUUGAGUCGCCAAACAGCAGAAGAAAAGAACUAAUACUGGAAUCUAUGGAAGGAACGUCGAAAAUUGUAUGCAAACUGUGGGGCAAUUGUGCUCUGUUUGAUGUUCCUCCUCAAGACUCGAUAAUAACACUCACAGGCAUGGAUGUCACUUCAUGGAGAGGAGAAAUCUCCUUGAAUUCUUCAGUACUUACAGAGUUGAAGGAAACAGAUGAAGAUGGGACAUUUGAGGGAGAAAUUGAGGCAGUUAACUUUUCUGAUAUCCAUACAUGCCGGUCAAACUUGGCAUAAAGAAUCCUUUGAUGAGUGCUCUUGCGUCUUUUUCAAUGUACAACCGAACACAUCAACAAAACAGUCAGUAGUGCACUGACCUUGACUCAGAUUUUCUUCAGCAAUUUCAUAGAUACCUUGAAAGUUUAACUGCUAAUGUAAACUACUCUAGAUAGUGUAGCACACAAAAAAUCUGUGAAAAAUAUUAACAUAUGCAGUUCAAUUAGUUUUUCACAGGAAUAUGUAUUGAUAGAAAAUCUUUAAAGGUCUUCUUCUCCAAAAUUUAACUUAGGACCUGAAAAACUAUUUGUUUGAAAUCACCCUCAGAAACUACAGUUACGUUAUUGUGAACAGCAGAACAUUCAAAAUGCCCACAAAAACGGCCAUUCAAAUAUUUGGAGGAAAGAAGUUUAAGGACAGCAUAACAAUUAAGGGGAUGUCAAAAGGGACUACAAUCACUCAUGUGGAAGUGUGCAAUCCAGCAAAGAAACAAAAAAAAGAUUGAAAAUUGUGAAGAUUUCAGAGAGUACCGGUAAACGCAUUCAACUUUUGCUAAUAAAUGCAAAACUUUGUGCAUGGAGGAAAUAUGUAAAGACUAUAUAAAUACAUAUUAUGCAUAAAGUUGAAGAAAGUGCGUCUUGCAUGCAAGUACAUGUAUAUUUGAGGCGGUAUUGAAUUUUUUUACCUUCCAUUUUUUGUCAUAUUUUAUAUUACUAAACAUGAUAGACAUCCAUGUUUUAAUCAUUUCAUAGUACUUAUGCAUAACGUUAAUGAAGAAAGUGUGUCUUGCAUGCAAUUACAUGUAUAUUUGAGGCGGUAUUGAAUUUUUUUACCUUCCAUUUUUUAUUUGUAAAAUAUUACUAAACAUGAUGGACAUCCAUGUUUUAAUCAGUUCAGAGAUAACACCACAAAUAAGACCCUUUCUUUUUAAUCAACAUAUAUUGUUCGUAUCUCUUCAAUAUCUUAUUUAUAAGAAUCUUAAAUUGUGUCUAUUUUUUGACAACCUGUGGUCAUAUAUUUUGAAAUUGCUUUUGACACCAACAUAUAUUACACACUAAUGUAUACUAAAGCUGUUGCAAAUUUUAUAAACGUGAUAUAACAUAAGUAGAUAACUUUGAGUAUUGUCGUUUUUUUUUAAUGCAGUGAUCAUAUAUUGAAAUUGCAUUGUAACAGAAAAAAUGCACACUUGUUUAUUAAAGCUGCUGCACAAUUUAAAAACGUAAUAUGGCAAAUGUGGGUAACUUAAUAACUUUGUUCUAUAUAGUCAUCUACCAUUAAAUCUUAUGUUUAAUUUUUAGUAACCAGUGCUCAUAAUUAUCAACUUGCCCUGUAAUAGCAAUAUUACACACUUGUGUACUAAAGCUUAAUAGUUUAUGCACAUUUUUCAAAUUUAAAAUAAUAAAUGUGUGGAUACCUUUUCCUCCCUAAAAAUCUUGUUUAUUUUUUGACAAUAAGUAUUCAUAUAUUUUGAAAGUGCUCUGUAACAGGAAUAAUACACACAAGUUUGUAUAUUAAAGCUUCUGCACAAUUUUGUAACGUGAUAUAACAUGUAUUAAAUUCAGUCUAUAACUUUU
rnacentral:misc_RNA from 1 species